AGAGGAAGGAGAGAUCAUGGCGGACGGGAGGCAAGACUAGCCUGCAGCUCUGGACAGAGCAGCGAGUGGGAGCUCGCAUUGUAAACUUUAGCUCCAGAUGGACGGCAAAAACAAACCAGCAAUCCCCAGAGGACCCACAGACCCUCUGAAGGAAGUGGGCUGCUCCUGCAGGACCCGGGAGACCCCCAAAACUGUGAGUGUCCAGCUGCCGAAGUGGGAAAGGGAAACCCUCCUCUCCGGAACAGACACCCCCUGAGAAGUCUAUUUGUGGGAGAAGUUUCCGACUUUACCUGGAGCUGAGUCAGUCUGGAGAGCUGACUGAAAUACAGGGAUAGAGGAGGCAGCAGCAAGGCCCUGGGAGCUGAAUGGGUCCCCGGGCAGCCCAUUCCUGCCUGGCACCACAGGGAUCCAACGGGAGAGGAACAGAGGGUAAAACUACACGGAGAGAAGGAAAUCUCUAGCUGAACUUUGUAACAAUUCGAACAGCGUGAGAAGUCUCCUGGCCAGAACUCGGGGGAGGACACAAAUCUCCUGCACAGUUAAUAUCCAGAGUCACACGUGGAGAGGAAGCAUCACAAUGAGACCAUACAACCAUAUAAUCUGUUCAAGUCCUAGAAGGUGUUGGCAGAGCUGCAGGACUGACCUAGGUCAAUGGCUGUGGGGGAAGAAAAGACACCAGAUGUUUCCGAUCAAGAGACAAGAGAAACAUUCAGCGUGACCCUAGAAAAUCUUUCUAAAGAGAUUUCACAACACUCAGCUCAUGUUUCGGGUCCAUGAAACCAUCUUUAGAUGAAUGAUGCCUUGUUACCUGUGAGAGGAAGUGAGCAGCGAGGAGUCCUGUCAGUUCCGGAAGGAGUAUUUGGGUUACUGUUCUUCAUUGUCUGCAGUUCUGUCUUGCUCAGUCGCCCAGGCUGAAGUGCAGUGGUGUGAUCAUAGCUCACUGCAGCCUCAACUUCCUGGAGUCAAGCAAGCCUCCCACAUCAGCCUCCUGAGUAGAUUGGAGACCUGUUGUGUGUUACCUUUGGAAGGUUUUCCACAGUUGAGAUCCAGUUGCUCCAGCAUCAUUUGUUGAGUGGUCUCUCUUCAUCCACAGAGCUCCAGAGUGUCUCCUCUUACAGGACUUCUACACGUUGGGCACAAAUUUCAGCAUGGCGUUAAGAAGAACUGUGAGUGGGCAUUCUUGCCUUAUUUCUACUUUCAGAGGAAGAUAUUUUGUUGUUCCCUGUUGAUAUUUGCAUUCAGAUGUUUUGAAAAGGCAAGAAGUUUAAAAAACAAAGGCUACAUUAAUCCUGAAGAGUUUAAAAUGCAUCAACGAAUUUGUUUAAGCUGUGCAACAGACAUGGUAUCUAGUGGACCAGAGACAGUAUCUGGGAUACAGAGAAUGAUGAAUAAAUAUGAGGUGUUUUUAAUUUCUUCUUCUCUUCCUUGGGAUAAAUUAGAAGAAAGUGGAACCUACAUACAAAAAAAGCUUUUCAUACUUAAAAGCCCACUCUUUUGAGUUCAGUUAAUCUCUCAUUCUGCAAGAACAAGUUUUGUGUCCAAUGCACAGAUGCCACGGCAGAUUGGUAGAGUGAACACUCAGAAACUGGCUCCUGAACGAAUCCGGUUCCUUCAGAACUCCAGCAUGCCCCCCUGGGUGACCUAUGUUUUCUGGAAAGCGGUUCUACAAAGCUGUGUUUUAGAGGAGGAAUCUUACUGGCAGACAGGAUUUGGCUUUGUUUAGCUAUCCGUACUGUUUCUGCAACACUUGCUUUUGCUACUGAAAGGAGUUAUGCGGUUUGCAACCUAAAACCACCACACUGAUUGUCAGUGGUGACUUUCUGAGUGACUGACGCAAGGUGGACCCUCAAAGAGACCUGAGGUACUUGUUGGCCGAUUUACCUUCACAUCAUAACGCACGCAGAGUGAACACCUCACAUGCAAGUACAGCAAGAAACCCCAUAUACCAGUGGGAAUGUUGCCACAAUGUCUCCCAUGACAGCGGACAGACCUGGAGCCGUGCAUUCUUUGGGGAGGAAUCGGCUCCUUCCAUUGGAGCUGUAGGAUCUCUCCCCUCUCACCAGGUCUCCCACACACGCACUUUUGCCCCUAGAGGGGCCUACUUGAAGCUCACGUCUUCAGUGUGCAGAUUCAGAAACACUUGAGCACAGAAGAUCAUGGCCUCUCAGGGGAGGGAGGAACUCACAAGGUUAUCCAGCCCAACCUAUCAUCAGAGGCUGAAAUAUGUUUUGAACAGUGUGUCCACGCUCACAGUCCGCAGUGCUUCCUCUGAACUCUGGGAGCAAGUCUUUGCACAAAAAAGACACUUGGCUGACAGCAUCCGGAAAUCACCUGCAAUCCCAAAGCCUCCGGAAUGCACCUGCAAUCCCACAGCGUCCGGAAUGCACCUGCAAUCCCACAGCAUCUGGAAUGCACCUGCAAUCCCGCAGCAUCUGGAAUGCACCUGCAAUCCCACAGCAUCCGGAAUGCACCUGCAAUCCCACAUCCAUAGCAUCUGGAAUGCACCCGCAAUCCCACAGCAUCCGGAAUGCACCUGCAAUCCCACAGCAUCCGGAAUGCACCCGCAAUCCCACAGCGUCCGGAAUGCACCUGCAAUCCCACAGCAUCCAGAAUGCACAAUCCCACAGCAUCCGGAAAGCACCUGCGAUCCCACAGCAUCUGGAAUGCACCUGCAAUCCCACAGCAUCAGGAAUGCACCUGCAAUCCCACAGCAUCCAGAAUGCACCUGCAAUCCCACAUCCACAGCAUCCGGAAUGCACCCGCAAUCCCACAGCAUCCGGAAUACACCCGCAAUCCCACAGCAUCCGGAAUACACCCGCAAUCCCACAGCAUCCAGAAUGCACCUGCAAUCCAACAGCAUCCGGAAUGCACCGGCAAUCCCACAGCAUCCGGAAUGCACCCGCAGCCCCACAGCAUCCGGAAUACACCCGCAAUCCCACAGCAUCUGGAAUGCACCCGCAAUCCCACAUCCAGAGCAUCCGGAAUGCACCCGCAAUCCCACAGCAUCCGGAAUGCACCCGCAAUCCCACAGCAUCCGGAAUGCACCCGCAAUCCCACAGCAUCCGGAAUGCACCCGCAAUCCCACAGCGUCCGGAAUGCACGUGCAAUCCCACAUCGACAGCGUGUUUUCUCACUGUCCCUGGGGAUUCCAAGCCACUAGCCUCUGUUCCCACAGGAAAGUCUCUUUUUUGUCUCUCCUUCAAUUCUAUGAUUAUAUUCACGUUGAAAUAUAUCAACUUUAAAAAACACUUGUAUUGUGACAUAUCAGUUCUCAUACCUGUAAGGACAGCACUCCUAUCAGAAAUAUGAAUAUUACUUGUGAGUGUGACAAAUAAACAUAAACUCAAGAGUAGGUCUUUUCAAAUACAUUCUAGCUAAAAAAAAAAAAAAAAGCUAAAUGAACAUGCAGACCUCCAUGAAGAAUAAACAGCUGGCAAGAGAAUGUGUGAGCAGGGAGGGGCUCUUUAAUAUGAAUAAAAGGCUCAGUGGACUCACAAUGGCUGUUUGCAAAUACACGAAGGCACUCCGUAUAGAUCAGAGUCAGGAAUUGUUUUAUUAGGCCUAGAGAGAUAGAGCUACCAUCAAUCACUGGAUAUAAGUCACAUAGGAAGCCUGGCACAAAGUAAAAAUGUUCAAACAUGAAAUCAGCUGUCUCUGGGGCAAUGAGCUGUCACUACAGUUAUUUGAUGUUAGCUGGGCAUUGACUUGUGAGAAUAUUAUCAAGAAAAUUCAACUGCAGGUAGUCCUGAGUGAUGUCCAAUGUCCACUCCAGCAAUGGAACGAAAUGACAAUGACUACGCUGUGGUUUCCUCGGAUAUAGACGAAAUACAUCUGCUGAUAAACACAGGCUCCCAUACGUUUAAUGAUCAAUCCAGGCCUGCCUCCAGUAACAAACAGCAGAUCUUCAAAGACCAGCCCGGACACAGACAGCCCAGAAUUUAGGCCAUGUUCUUUGAAUAUCUACAAUAUUACAAAAUUCCAGUGUAGCUCACUGAGUCAGUGUGUGUGUAUAAAAUUAAAAAUGCAAAAAUUAUUUUUUCUGGUUCAGGGAUUUCUGUGAUAAAUGUUUUUCUUUUUAAAUAUGAACAGUAAGUCGAACAAUAAAUAAAUGUAAUAAGACAAGAGUAAGAGCCUUCUACUUGUGUAAAGACUUUGUGCUAGGAAGGUGUGUAGCCGCCUCUACAUAUUCAAUUUUAACUUUCUCUUAUUGUUUCUUGAAGGACAGGACUGCAGAGCUCACUGUUUAAGGGUGACUAUGCUCUCCUGUCCAUUCAUUCAUGGAGACCUGAGUUUUUCUCUAGGGACAUAUUAAAGUAGCCUGGAGUUAGAACAGCACAAACCCUUCAAAAAGUGGUAAAUUUCUCAGCGGAUUCCACAGUUGUCAUGAAUGUGAUUAAUAGGUGAUCAAGGCUCACCUCUUCAUCUGGAGCUACCUAGACAAGCAGAAAGGGAAAUUCUAUUUCCAGCUCCUAAGCAAAUAAGUAACUGAAAACAUUUAAUUUCUGGGAGAUCUUACAAGCAGGGCCACUCUAAAAUGAACACUGGGGAGUCAAAAAAAAAAAAAAAAGGAAAAUGACUGCUCCUUACCUGCACCAAUGACUCGGGUGAUGCUACCCUUGAAGAUUCCGUUGGUCCUGAUCCAACAGAACAUAGAGAGUGACACUGUGUAUCUUCUAUGAAGAAGCUAGCACAGUGUGGAAAAUUGGCCUUACAAAAAUGUGUCAUGUUCAUUACUUUUAAUUAAGGAAUUAAAUUAUGUUUUAAUUUCCUGGGGUUUAUCACACACUUAUUUAAUAGUAAAUUAUAUUAUUACCAGGAUUCAUGGUGUGGUGUGUGUGUGUGUGUAUGUGUGUGCAAAGUAGGAAACAUGAGAGAUAAAUGUAAUUUAAGCAUAGAAUGAAAUAAAAAUGUGUUACAGAAAAAAUGAA
rnacentral:lncRNA from 1 species